rnacentral:rRNA from 1 species
AACGAACGCUGGCGGCAUGCCUAACACAUGCAAGUCGAACGAGACCUUCGGGUCUAGUGGCGCACGGGUGCGUAACGCGUGGGAACCUGCCCUUAGGUUCGGAAUAACUCCCCGAAAGGGGUGCUAAUACCGGAUAAUGUCUUCGGACCAAAGAUUUAUCGCCUUUGGAUGGGCCCGCGUUGGAUUAGCUAGUUGGUAGGGUAAAAGCCUACCAAGGCGACGAUCCAUAGCUGGUCUGAGAGGAUGAUCAGCCACACUGGGACUGAGACACGGCCCAGACUCCUACGGGAGGCAGCAGUGGGGAAUAGUGGACAAUGGGCGAAAGCCUGAUCCAGCAAUGCCGCGUGAGUGAUGAAGGCCUUAGGGUUGUAAAGCUCUUUUACCUGGGAUGAUAAUGACAGUACCGGGAGAAUAAGCUCCGGCUAACUCCGUG